UACCCUUUCCAAACUUUCCCAUACCCUUCUUCAACAAUUGGCUUCUCUUUUCACUUGAUAAAAGCAAAAUCAAUCGAAGCCCUAGAUUGCCCAACGGCCGCUAGCUCGUGAGAAUUUAUGAGUUCAAGUCUCGAAAAGUGAACAAUGAAAAAGAUAAAAAAUGGAGCAAGAGAGAAUCCAUCGCUUUUAUAUUCAAAGAGCUAUAUUUUGUCGAUUGCAACAACAAAGCGAUGUUAUGGGGAGAAGAUCUUUUUAAGAAGUUUAAAAAGUCUACAGGCAGAUUUGUGGAAUGAGAGCAUAUGAAUGACAAACUAAGACAGAUGUUGAUCAAGCUAAGGUGCGGUUGAAGACCAUGGAAAGAGAGAAAGGGGAAGACUAUACAGCUUUGGACUCAAAC